CCGGCGCACCCGAAGCAGGCGGUGGGCGGGGCGUAUGUAAAUAUUGCGGACGGUCAUUUGCAUAACCGCCGUCGCUUUUUCAAAACCCAUCCGUUGGCGCAGCGAAGCAGAUGGUCACGUUCGUUGUUGAUUUAGUCUCCUUUAGAUUGGGUGGGGUUGGUGAUCGUAGUGGUCUUCGGCGUCGUCGCGAAAGUGUUCUAGUCGGAAAAGAAGUUGUUCCUCGAACACUGCAUUCUAAAAAGAAUGCAUUUCGACAACCCAUUGUACUGGUGUUAAAUAAACGCCCUGCAUCG